UCUUUUUAAAAAUGAAAUGUAUGGAUGAAUACCAGCAUUCAAUAUUAUUAUUAAACAUGUUUUUGUUACACAUAUAGGUAUCAUACAGUAAACCAUCUUUCAUAUUCUUUAUUCUAAACCAAUAUUUUAGCAUUGAUAAUACAAUUGAAAAAUAUAAAGGGAAUCUACCAAGCUCUCCUAGCACAGCUAGGUUAGAAGACUUUUUGUUUACAC
rnacentral:lncRNA from 1 species